rnacentral:rRNA from 1 species
GGAGGGUGCAAACGUUGUUCGGAAUUAUUGGGCGUAAAGAGCAUGUAGGCGGUUUGUCAAGUCUGAUGUGAAAGCCCGGGGCUCAACCCCGGAAGUGCAUUGGAAACUGGCAAACUUGAGUACGGGAGAGGAAAGUGGAAUUUCGAGUGUAGGGGUGAAAUCCGUAGAUAUUCGAAGGAACACCAGUGGCGAAGGCGGCUUUCUGGACCGAUACUGACGCUGAGAUGCGAAAGCGUGGGGAGCAAACAGGAUUAGAUACCCUGGUAGUCCACGCCGUAAACGAUGGGUACUAGGUGUUGCGGGUAUUGACCCCCCUGCAGUGCCCAAAGCUAACGCAUUAAGUACCCCGCCUGGGGAGUACGGCCGCAAGGCUA